rnacentral:tmRNA from 1 species
GGUCUUGUGCGCGAACACCGCGCACACUAUCUAGAGGGCGUCCGGGCAACCGGACUAUGGACAUAAACGCGCUCGUAAUAAGCGGAUCGGACCCGGGGGCGGUACCCGGCGACUCCACCAAACAACCCUUCGUUGGGGGCAAAUGGGGUCGAAACAGGAUCGACGAACGUGUAAAGGGGUUUUUGCUUUGUCCCGGUGAGGUACCACCGUUAUCGGUCCGAAAAGUACAGUUGCCAACGACAACCGUGCUCCGGCGAUGGCUCUGGCUGCGUAAGCAGUCCGGGUAUCCCGAACCUAAGUCCUAAGGGGUAGCACCUUUAGGCGGGGUCCGCAGGCACCUGGCAACAGAAGCCUGCACC